CCUCAAAGCAUAGCUUCUUAUUCAAAUGAGGAAGGAUCCCUUCCAGAGACGGUAAGCUGCUGGUGGCGGUGGACAUUGUGCCUACCUGUUUUUGUGUUCUUAUGGCCUGUCACCGAUGCCUGGAAUAUCCUUGAUGUAAUUCUGAAAGUAUUGCUCAAAGGGAACCAAGAACUUGGCAAGAGCACAGCCAGAUGACUCAUCUUGCCCUGAUAGCUGGGGCCUCAUCCGGAAUAACACACAUGUCAAGGACUGGAGCAGCUGAGGGCUGGGUGAGCACCUUUUCUCUCUCCAGUGCAGUCUUGCAGCCUGCUGUGUCAUGAACUAAGAACGCCCAUGAGCUAAGCACAGUUUUAAAAUGUAUUAACGUUUUAAAAAGAAUCUGAAGAAGAAUAAAGCCCCAUGAGGUCUGAAAGUUAUAUGAGAUUCAAAUCUGUAGCCAUAAAUAAAGCUUCAUUCACACGGCAACACACACUUGUUUACAUGUGGUCUACUCUGUGCAACUCUGUAUCCUGAAAAAUUUGCUGGUGAAUG
ensembl:lncRNA